rnacentral:snoRNA from 1 species
GCUCUCUCAGGAUCGCGCCUGGAGAGUUUCCAGUAUUCUACCAGUCUCAGCUAUGGGAGGGAGAGUCAAGCAGAGGCAUAGCCAUUCCAUUCCUAGCUUGGGCAGCGGCUAGCGAGUGGAAAGCAAUCUGCUAAAUGU